rnacentral:rRNA from 1 species
AGAGUUUGAUCAUGGCUCAGAGCGAACGCUGCGGCAGUAACACAUGCAAGUCGAGCGGGCGUAGCAAUACGUCAGCGGCAGACGGGUGAGUAACGCGUGGGAACGUACCUUUUGGUUCGGAACAACACAGGAAACUUGUGCUAAUACCGGAUAAGCCCUUACGGGGAAAGAUUUAUCGCCGAAAGAUCGGCCCGCGUCUGAUUAGCUAGUUGGUAGGGUAAUGGCCUACCAAGGCGACGAUCAGUAGCUGGUCUGAGAGGAUGAUCAGCCACAUUGGGACUGAGACACGGCCCAAACUCCUACGGGAGGCAGCAGUGGGGAAUAUUGGACAAUGGGCGCAAGCCUGAUCCAGCCAUGCCGCGUGAGUGAUGAAGGCCCUAGGGUUGUAAAGCUCUUUUGUGCGGGAAGAUAAUGACGGUCCGCAAGAAUAAGCCCCGGCUAACUUCGUGCCAGCAGCCGCGGUAAUACGAAGGGGGCUAGCGUUGCUCGGAAUCACUGGGCGUAAAGGGUGCGUAGGCGGGUCUUUAAGUCAGGGGUGAAAUCCUGGAGCUCAACUCCAGAACUGCCUUUGAUACUGAAGAUCUUGAGUUCGGGAGAGGUGAGUGGAACUGCGAGUGUAGAGGUGAAAUUCGUAGAUAUUCGCAAGAACACCAGUGGCGAAGGCGGCUCACUGGCCCGAUACUGACGCUGAGGCACGAAAGCGUGGGGACAAACAGGAUUAGAUACCCUAGUAGUCC